UGGGGAAUCUUGGACAAUGGGGGCAACCCUGAUCCAGCCAUGCCGCGUGAGUGAUGAAGGCCUUAGGGUCGUAAAGCUCUUUCGCCUGUGAAGAUAAUGACGGUAGCAGGUAAAGAAACCCCGGCUAACUCCGUGCCAGCAGCCGCGGUAAUACGGAGGGGGUUAGCGUUGUUCGGAAUUACUGGGCGUAAAGCGCACGUAGGCGGACCAGAAAGUUGGGGGUGAAAUCCCGGGGGCUCAACCCCCGGAACUGCCUCCAAAACUAUUGGUCUAGAGUUCGAGAGAGGUGAGUGGGAAUUCCAAGUGUAGAGGUGAAAAUUCGUAGAUAUUUGGAGGAACACCAGUGGCGAAGGCGGCUCACUGGCUCGAUACUGACGCUGAGGUGCGAAAAGUGUGGGGAGCAAAACAGGAUUAGAUACCCCUGGUAGUCCACACCGUAAAACGAUGAGCACUCGGUGCCGCGGGGUAUCGACCCCUGCGGUGCCUGAGCUAACGCAUUAAGUGCUCCG
rnacentral:rRNA from 1 species